UACGGAGGGUGCGAGCGUUAAUCGGAAUGACUGGGCGUAAAGGGUGCGUAGGUGGUUGAGUAAGUGUGUUGUGAAAUCCCCGGGCUUAACCUGGGAAUGGCAACACAUACUGCUUGACUUUGAGUAGUUCAGAGGCGUGUGGAAUUUCCGGUGUAGCGGUGAAAUGCGUAGAGAUCGGAAAGAACACCAGUGGCGAAGGCGGCUAUCUGGCGGCACAUUGACGCUGAGGCGCGAAAGCGUGGGGAGCAAACAGG
rnacentral:rRNA from 1 species